rnacentral:miRNA from 1 species
GCCCGCCCCGGCCCGACGCCCUCAGCCGCGGAGCCUUGCGUCCUGGUCCUGGCCCUGGCCCUGGUCCAGCGGCUG